UCCCAGUUAAGGUCCUCUCUUUCCCAUCUCUAAAAGCCUUGGAGGGUCUUCUUGAGGUACUGACUGUUUUGCUGGUGAGAAGGCAGUCCCAAUACCUAUAUUGUUACAACAGGACAGCGAGAGUAAUGGAAGAGAAGGAUGUCUCUGAGCACCUUUUGUGUGUGAUCUGCUUAGUACCCAAGUGGCACACUCUGCUUUCUGCAUGAUCUUGGAAUCCAUGAUAGUCAUGAUGCCAGUCUGAACCAGGGCCAUGAGGCUCACCCACAACCUACGGAAUCUUGGAAAGCAAAGGGUGCAAGGCGGCAUACACCCUGGAUGGGAUGCCAGUCCAAAAAUAUGAAUCAUCAAGGACAAGGUUGACAGAACAAGUUCAUAUGUCAAUAUGUCAACCUCCAUAUGUCAAUGAGGCUUCAAUGUGGGCCUACUUAAAGUUAAACUGGUGGUUAAAUUGGAGAAGCAGAGUGAUCAUACCCCUUCUUAAUUAAGACAACUAUCACUGAAUGACAAGUAUGGUCUUUUUCUGAAAAAGUCCCCUACAGAACAGGAUUUGAAGGCAGAACCACCAGGAAAACAGAAGAAAAAGGAGACGCUUACUACAACCCAAGAGUGAAUGGAAACACUCUAGGUAAACUCUUAACAGCUGUGUAGCAAGGCUCUAGUCUCAAUUUCACUUUUCUUGCUGCACAGAGUCUCAGAGAGUUAGCAACAUAAUGCAUUUAAUGGGUAAGACACUGGCAAUUCAUGAGGGCAAUUUAUGUGCCCCUGAUUUGUAGCCAUUUACCCACUGUGGGUUUGUAAUUAGGUCACAGACAUGAAUCCCCUGAGAAAAUGAAAUCCUGUCACAUAAUGUAAUGACAUGUGGCAGGAGAAGCCUUUCUUGCUGCUCCUGAGUUUGUUUCAAUUAGCAGGCUACAUGCUUAAGCUCUGAAAGUUUGCUGAAUGUUUUGCAGAACUUGACAACCGCAGUGCU